ensembl:lncRNA LINC00570 long intergenic non-protein coding RNA 570
UCCCUGACCACGGGCUGCGGAAGAGUGGGACGUUAUGGAACCUUCUCAGCUUAUUCAGAGAGGCUUCUUCUUCCUAUUUAGUCUCCCUCUGGCUUUCCCUGCUGGGAUCUGGGUGGUAGAAGCAGCAGGGGGAUCAACGAACAGGCUGAGCGCCAAGAAGCCUGAAGAUUCCAGAAUCUAGCGGGAAAAGCAUUCAGAGUCAGAAUGAGUGGCAGCUGAGGCUUACUACCCCAGGAAAGGGAUGCCACCAGAGAAGGCAGACAACCAAGAUGGCGACUCUCAAUUUUUGAGCUCCUAAUUUUCUCAUGUCAGACAUAAGAAAAAAAAAUAUUUUUUAAAGAAAAAGCUUUAGGUUGCAAAAAUCUAGGCCUUUCAACUUUAAAAUCCUAUUCUUGCAAGCCUUGGAGAAUAAAGCUUAUGCAUAAACAGUAGAUUUGGAAACAGAAAUAUGCCUAAUUACCCAGAGCCAUUCUUUCAAUACGCCAGUGAUUGUUUAAAGAUUCUAUAGGCUGGAGUCAAUGGCAGGAGGCGGGUGGGAAAAGAGUCAAGAGGGAGGAGAGAAGAAGCAAGAGGGUUGGGUAGAUAUUGUCACAUGACCCUGAGAGGAGGAUUCUGGGUCAAACCCCUAGGGGGUUGUGUGUAAUGGAGACUCCAGAUCCAUUUGGGAAUCUGGCUCCAAAGAAGACUUCACCUUGCCUUCUGAGUGGAGCCCUGAAGUGGCAAGACUCAUAGAAUUCCCCCACGGGUCCACACAAGAGAGAAUGAAUAGAGAAGGCUGCGUGCUGGCUGGACCAAGGCAGCCUCGGGUGACACCACCACCACCACCGCCGCUGCCGCCAUCGCCAUCACCACUGCCGCUGCCAUCACCGCCACCACCACCACCAUCACCACCACCAUCACCACAUUAUGGACAAUAGCCCAAUGUUUCCUGAGUUCCCUAGAGGGUUGAAAGAGAAUAGGACCUAGAGAGAUCACAUAGUUGGGACAGGCACUCAUUAAUUUGAUCCAAUGACAAGAGACCAGAUGGGAAGAAGGAUGCCUUGAGAGAUGUCAGUGUGCACCCAUGGAUAGAAGCAGCUGGUGACUGGGUACUUGGGAAGCCACAUGGACACACACAAAGCUCCUGGAAGACGUUUUCAAGGAGUUGGGCUGUGCUGGGAUCCAGAACUGGCUGAAGAAACCAUGAGCUGACAUAAAAUUUCUGCCACCUAGCAGAAUGGAGGCUCCAUUUGGAAAUUAAAUUAUAUACUUAAAAAAA